UACGAAGGGGGCUAGCGUUGCUCGGAAUUACUGGGCGUAAAGGGAGCGUAGGCGGAUAGUUUAGUCAGAGGUGAAAGCCCAGGGCUCAACCUUGGAAUUGCCUUUGAUACUGGCUAUCUUGAGUGUGGGAGAGGUAUGUGGAACUCCGAGUGUAGAGGUGAAAUUCGUAGAUAUUCGGAAGAACACCAGUGGCGAAGGCGACA
rnacentral:rRNA from 1 species